rnacentral:rRNA from 1 species
UACGUAGGGUGCAAGCGUUAAUCGGAAUUACUGGGCGUAAAGCGUGCGCAGGCGGUUGUGCAAGACCGAUGUGAAAUCCCCGGGCUUAACCUGGGAAUGGCAUUGGUGACUGCACGGCUAGAGUGUGUCAGAGGGGGGUAGAAUUCCACGUGUAGCAGUGAAAUGCGUAGAGAUGUUGAGGAAUACCGAUGGCGAAGGCAGCCCCCUGGGAUAACACUGACGCUCAUGCACGAAAGCGUGGGGAGCGAACAGG